rnacentral:rRNA from 1 species
GACGAACGCUGGCGGCGUGCUUAACACAUGCAAGUCACGGGGGCCCCGCAAGGGGUAACCGGCGAACGGGUGCGUAACACGUGAGCGACCUGCCUUUCCGCGGGGGACAGCCGGCCCAACGGCCGGGUAAUACCGCAUACGCUGCGCUUGGGGCAUCCCGGGCGUAGGAAACCUCCGGGGCGGAGAGAGGGGCUCGCGACCUAUCAGCUAGUUGGCGAGGUAACGGCUCACCAAGGCGGCGACGGGUAGCUGGUCUGAGAGGAUGGCCAGCCACAUUGGGACUGAGAUACGGCCCAGACUCCUACGGGAGGCAGCAGUGGGGAAUAUUGCGCAAUGGCCUAACGGCUGACGCAGCGACGCCGCGUGUGGGAGGACGCCCCUCGGGGUGUAAACCACUGUUGCCCGGGACGAACAACCCCAUUCAUGGGGUCUGACGGUACCGGGUGAGGAAGCACCGGCUAACUCCGUGCCAGCCGCCGCGGU